CAGGUUCAGCUGCAGUAGUCUGGAGCUGAACUGGUGAAACCAGGGGCUUCAGUGAAGCUGUCCUGCAAGGCUUCUGGCUACACCUUCACAAACUACAUCAUAAACUGGGUAAAGGAAGGGCCUGGACAUGGCCUUGAGUGGAUUGGAUGGAUUUCUCCUGAAUAUGGUCAUACUUACUACAAUCAGAAGUUCAAGGGCAAGGCCACAUUCACUGCAGACACAUCCUCCAGCACAGCCUACAUGGAGCUCAGCAGCCUGACAUCUGAGGACUCUGCAGUCUAUUUCUGUGCAAGA